rnacentral:rRNA from 1 species
AUGAAAAUCUUAAAUGGCCGCAGUACCCUGACUGUGCUAAGGUAGCGUAAUCAGUUGGCUUUUAAAUGGAGUCGAGAAUGAAUGGGUUUUCGGGGGUUAACUGUCUCUUUUGGAUUUAGUUGAAAUUUCUAAAAAGGUGCAAAAUCCUUUGAUUAGAAGAAAGACGAGAAGACCCUUAGAGUUUUUAUUAUAAAAAGAUUAAUUCUUUUUCGGUUUUUGCUGGGGCGGCAAAGAGACAUUAAACUCUCUUUUUACAGUUUUUAGAAGACGUAAAUCUAAAGAAACAAUAAACUACCUUAGGGAUAACAGCAUAAUUAAAUUUUAGUUUGUGACCUCGAUGUUGGACUAGGAAAAAUUUUUGGUUAGCCGCCAAAAGUUAAGUUCUGUUCGAACUAG